AAGUCGUAACAAGGUUUCCGUAGGUGAACCUGCGGAAGGAUCAUUAACACGUUAUCCACGUAUUCACAAGGGCACAUGUUACUUACUACUCCUGGGCAGAAUGAACAGCAGCAGAGGAAGUUUGGGAAGCGGGCUUGAUGACGGCUUCGGCUGAUAUUCGUUUAGCUUUUCUUUGCUAUUCUUGCUGACGGGCCUGCUUUUUUGGCGGCUCCGAGCGCGGGUACUGUUGUAUUUGCUUUCAGGCGCAUAGUCUCUGCGGGACCUCACCUUCUCGAGGCGUUCGCAAGAGGCGACAUAUUCACACUAUUCACCCCUUUUUGCUAGUUGACUUUUAUAUGUUGUAGUAAUUGUUUCGGCAAUUCUGCACACGUUUAAUUAUUUGAACGUUAAAAAUACAACUCUUAGCAAUGGAUAUCUAGGUUCUC
rnacentral:misc_RNA from 1 species